rnacentral:rRNA from 1 species
UACGUAGGGUGCGAGCGUUGUCCGGAAUUACUGGGCGUAAAGAGCUCGUAGGUGGUUUGUCACGUCGUCUGUGAAAUUCCGGGGCUUAACCUCGGGCGUGCAGGCGAUACGGGCAAUACUUGAGUGCUGUAGGGAGACUGGAAUUCCUGGUGUAGCGGUGAAAUGCGCAGAUAUCAGGAGGAACACCAAUAGCGAAGGCAGUCUUCCAAGCCGUUAUUGACGCUCAAACUGCGAAGGUGUGGGUAUCAAACAGGAUUAGAUACCCU